AAAACGGGAUUUGCGGUUAGAAGUCAAACUGAAGGAAGACCUGCUUCAAAGCUGAUGCAGACAGUGGAUAGCUGAGGUUAUGGUUGGAUGGUGCCUGAUAAGUCAGCAAAUAAAACCAAGUAACAACAAUUGACAUCGUUGGAAGUAGAGAACCAGAAAACAUGAGAGCAGGCGACUGUGUUUUUAAAAACCUUCUUGAUACGGGUGAAGCCCCCAAUAGGAAAGAAAAAUAAUAAGUACCAGUGCACUCCGAAGAAGAUGACGUUUGCACGGGACCCUCCAGGGACUGCAUGAACACAAACCUCUCUGAGCAUGACUCCCAACAUCCUCCUCCAACUGCUGUCUGAAAGGAUUCCUCUACCCCUGCUGCCCUGUGGUUACCCAGGACUUUCCAGGGCCUGUAUCCUAACAUCAGCAAUAGUUCCUCCUCUAGAAACAGCAUAGACGUCAACCCACUUGUUAUAUGAGUAUGCCAGCCAGUGAAGGAGAUUGUCAUAUCUGAAAUAACCAGGGUCAUGGAGCCUUAGAAACUCCAGGGCUAUUAGUACACUUAGAAAGACACACAGCACAAUGGGGAAACUGCUUCCUGCACAUUACCCUGGGAAUGGAAGACACAGCUGGAAAUCAGCUCCCAGUUGCAGAAAACAUCCUUCUGGGCUCAAGUUUUCAGACAAAAUAAACCACCACCACCACCACCACCACCACCACCACCACCACCACCAUCAUCAUCAUCAUUAUUAUUCAGAACUAUCCUCAAUGUAUCUUAGUGACAGACACACACAGAGCUUAUCCAGACUUCUGCUGUAUCCUGUGGAGCCUGAUGCUUCCUUUAAACCACAGAAGUGCCAUGUGCCUGGCUUUAAAAUGUGUUACAAGGCAGACAAUGUAAAAGAGGCAGUUAAAGCUGAACACCCAAACAGUGUGUCCUCCGUGUCAGCUACCACCCAUCCACUUCUCCACCUCUCACGGGUCUACCUCACUCUUCUGGGGAGUCCUACAUCUUAAAAUCCAAAUGUUAAAACAUAAGUUGGCCCUUCCGUUACCCUCUCUUCUCAAGAAGGCAAUCCUGCACAUAGAUAAUUGAACCUGGGCAGUUUCUUGUUUAGCUAUUGCAGAUGGGUUGCAUGUCACAUCGUUCAUGCUAUAGCCAGUAAACAAGAGACUGGUAGCCGAAAGAAAAGUAAAAUCACUCUGGCAGGCUUUGGUUCCGGGAUUUUACAUUUCCAUUCUCUUCACGAUUGGCCUUGUUCUUCGUUUUGAAAUUUGGAAAGAGGGUGAGAUACAGGCUUGAUCCUCUUUCUUUCUUUUUUUUUUUUUUUUUUUUAAGUUCACACCAUCUAGGAAAGCCAUCCAAAUCAUUUUAUUCCUAAUCUUUCUGUGCAAAAUGUUUUGUUAAAUCCUGAUGACAACUUUUAUGCAUAAUGCAUAUAAUAAACUUUGCCAAAAUCUGAGGCGCUUUUAAAAGCAUGUAAAACCUUUUUAGGAGCAAAAUGGCAUUACAGGGUAUGCGGCUGCAGCAGACUGGGAAAACCACAUAGCAAGGUUGACUGAGAGCAUUGUGCUCCAUGCCAUUAACUCCCAAAUAUCUAAUAGGUGGAGUUCUCUUGGUUUACUUGUGUUCAAAAUUGCAUGUUAUUUCUUAUGAGAUUUUCUAUGUAUUCAUGCCUAGUUUAUGUACGACAUAAAUUCCGUUCUGCCUUCAACACUUCUGGGAAUCUUCACACUUAAAAAAAGAAAGACCAGAUACUUUUUCCAUGUAACUGAAGGGGAAAAAAAGAAUCGUGUCAUUGCUCCCCCCCAAAAAAUAUAAUUUAAAGUAACAUUUUUGUGUUUGUGUGAGUUCGUAUUUGUAUGCAUGGCUAUCAUUUGAUAAAUCAUGUAGGUAAA
rnacentral:lncRNA from 1 species